CUAAGGACUGCCAAGAAAAGCUGCUAAACGUUGUAUUCUAGUUCGGCCCGUACCGCAAACCGACACAGGUAGUCAAGGAGAGUAUCCUGAGGCGCUCGAGUGAAUCACGGCCAAGGAACUCGGCAAAAUGGUCCUGUAACUUCGGGAGAAGGGACGCUUCCUCUAGUGAUAGAGAAGCCGCAGUGAAAAGACCCAAGCGACUGUUUAACAAAAACACAUGGCUUUGCUAACGCGUAAGCGGACGUAUAAGGCCUGACACCUGCCCGGUGCUGGAAGGUUAAGAGGGGAGCUUAGUCGCAAGGCGAAGGCUUGAAUCGAAGCCCCAGUAAACGGCGGCCGUAACUAUAACGGUCCUAAGGUAGCGAAAU
rnacentral:rRNA from 1 species